UGGAAUUCUAAAAUUCACCAGGUGGUC
rnacentral:piRNA from 1 species